UACGUAGGGUGCAAGCGUUGUCCGGAAUUAUUGGGCGUAAAGAGCUCGUAGGCGGUUUGUCGCGUCGGCUGUGAAAACCUGGGGCUCAACCCCGGGCCUGCAGCCGAUACGGGCAAACUAGAAUUCGGUAGGGGAGACUGGAAUUCCUGGUGUAGCGGUGAAAUGCGCAGAUAUCAGGAGGAACACCGGUGGCGAAGGCGGGUCUCUGGGCAUUAACUGACGCUGAGGAGCGAAAGCAUGGGGAGCGAACAGG
rnacentral:rRNA from 1 species